rnacentral:ncRNA from 2 species
UAUCAGUUGGGGCGCUACGGUUCUGCAAUCGCAGAUGAAAAGGGAAUGCGGUGAGGCUUUCGGGCCAAGUCCGCGACUGCCCUCGCAACUGUAAGCGGCGAGCCAGCCAUCGAUACCACUGAUCAUCCGAUCGGGAAGGCGAUGGAAGGCGUUCGAGCCGCAAGUCAGGAGACCUGCCGUGGCAUGGACAACCAA